rnacentral:lncRNA from 1 species
UUGUUGGAUUCAUUGGAAAAUCCAGAGGCAUAAGAGAAUUGUUGAGUGACACAAGUUGAUGACUCUCCCAUGUUUCUAUCAAACAUUCCAAACCUUGAAAGAACCUAACUUUACUACAAAAAUUAGUAUUUAUAUUAUAUAUAUUUUUUAAUAUACUAGAGUUUAUAUUAUAUUUUCUUUGUUAGUUAAUUUAUUUAUUUUCGGUUUGACUACAUAUUCUAUUUUUCUUUUUCUUAAGGAUUAAAAUUUG